GCUUACGGCCAUACCAGCCUGGGUACGCCCGAUCUCGUCUGAUCUCGGAAGCUAAGCAGGGUCGGGCCUGGUUAGUACUUGGAUGGGAGACCGCCUGGGAAUGCCAGGUGCUGUGAGCA
rnacentral:rRNA from 1 species